rnacentral:lncRNA from 1 species
ACCUGAGGCGAAAAAAUAAUGCGGGUGAGGCACGGGGAGAAUCAACGGCCGGUGAGAAUAGUAGGUAGCUCAGAUAGUGUGUCCAUGGAGGAGAGGACUUGGAGGGAAUUAGGGAUUUUCCGGGAGGAUUUUUAAGGGGAGAAAUAACCUGAGGCGAAAAAAUAAUGCGGGUGAGGCACGGGGAGAAUCAACGGCCGGUGAGAAUAGUAGGUAGCUCAAAUAGUGUGUCCAUGGAGGAGAGGACUUGGAGGGAAUUAGGGAUUUUCCGGGAGGAUUUUUAAGGGGAUGGAAGAGUCUUGAGUUUAACUGUACGAACUGUAAUUGUAAGAAUCGGACUCUGCAACUGAAGUCUUUCUCUGUUCUGUUUCUCUGUGAGAUAAGAGAGCGAGAGCGAGAGCGAGAGCGAGAGAGAGAAAGAGAGGUACAGAGUUGUUUUUAAAUGGGCACUUCUUUUUAAUUUUUUUUAAUUUUUUUAUUUUUCCCUGUCCGAGUUUGGGUUGGCUUCCGGUUCGAGUCUUGGAGACUACCGGGUACGGUGUGUCGU